rnacentral:rRNA from 1 species
AGGAUGAACGCUGGCGGCGUGCUUAACACAUGCAAGUCGAACGAUGAAGCCGGAGCUUGCUCUGGUGGAUUAGUGGCGAACGGGUGAGUAACACGUGAGUAACCUGCCCUUGACUCUGGGAUAAGCACUGGAAACGUGUCUAAUACCGGAUACGAGCUUUAGCCGCAUGGCUAGGAGCUGGAAAGAAUUUCGGUCAAGGAUGGACUCGCGGCCUAUCAGGUAGUUGGUGAGGUAACGGCCCACCAAGCCUACGACGGGUAGCCCGGCCUAGAGAGGGUGACCGGCCACACUGGGACUGAGACACGGCCCAGACUCCUACGGGAGCAGCAGGUGGGAAUAUUGCACAAGUGGGCGCAAGCCUGGAUGGCAGCCAACGCGCGUGAGGGCGACGGCUUGGUUACUAACUCUUUAGGAGGUAAGAGCGAAGUGACGUAC